UAGGGAAUCUUCCGCAAUGGACGAAAGUCUGACGGAGCAACGCCGCGUGAGUGAUGAAGGCUUUCGGGUCGUAAAACUCUGUUGUUAGGGAAGAACCAGUGCUAGUUGAAUAAGCUGGCACCUUGACGGUACCUAACCAGAAAGCCACGGCUAACUACGUGCCAGCAGCCGCGGUAAUACGUAGGUGGCAAGCGUUAUCCGGAAUUAUUGGGCGUAAAGCGCGCGCAGGUGGUUUCUUAAGUCUGAUGUGAAAGCCCACGGCUCAACCGUGGAGGGUCAUUGGAAACUGGGAGACUUGAGUGCAGAAGAGGAAAGUGGAAUUCCAUGUGUAGCGGUGAAAUGCGUAGAGAUAUGGAGGAACACCAGUGGCGAAGGCGACUUUCUGGUCUGUAACUGACACUGAGGCGCGAAAGCGUGGGGAGCAAACA
rnacentral:rRNA from 1 species